rnacentral:rRNA from 1 species
GACGAACGCUGGCGGCGUGCCUAAUACAUGCAAGUCGAGCGGACCAAAGGGAGCUUGCUCCUGGAGGUUAGCGGCGAACGGGUGAGUAACACGUGGGCAACCUGCCUGUAAGACUGGGAUAACAUCGAGAAAUCGGUGCUAAUACCGGAUAAUAAAAAGAACUGCAUGGUUCUUUUUUGAAAGAUGGUUUCGGCUAUCACUUACAGAUGGGCCCGCGGCGCAUUAGCUAGUUGGUGAGGUAACGGCUCACCAAGGCGACGAUGCGUAGCCGACCUGAGAGGGUGAUCGGCCACACUGGGACUGAGACACGGCCCAGACUCCUACGGGAGGCAGCAGUAGGGAAUCUUCCGCAAUGGACGAAAGUCUGACGGAGCAACGCCGCGUGAGUGAUGAAGGUUUUCGGAUCGUAAAACUCUGUUGUUAGGGAAGAACAAGUGCCGUUCGAAAGGGCGGCACCUUGACGGUACCUAACGAGAAGCCACGGCUAACUACGUGCCAGCAGCCGCGGUAA